CAGGUAUGGUUGUGCACUCCUUUAACUCCUGCUACUGGGGGACAAAGAUUGGUGAAUUGUUUGAGCUUAGGAGUUUUUAUUUACAGGUGGCUAAGCCAGUUGGGUAUCUGCACUAAGUACAGCAUCAAUAUGUUAAAUACCUAAAAGAGCAAGGACAAACAAGCUCAGGUCAGAAAUGGAGCAGGUCAAAGCUCCCAUGAUUAUCAGUAGUAGAAUCAGACCCAAGGGUAGCUACUAAAUUUCCAGCCUGAGUGAGAUAGGGAGACCCAGUCUCUC
ensembl:misc_RNA Metazoa_SRP Metazoan signal recognition particle RNA